rnacentral:rRNA from 1 species
UACGGAGGGUGCAAACGUUGCUCGGAAUUAUUGGGCGUAAAGCGCACGUAGGCGGCUCGUUAAGUCGGAUGUGAAAUCCCUCGGCUCAACCGAGGAAGUGCAUCCGAAACUGGCGAGCUUGAGUACGGAAGAGGGUCUCGGAAUUCCCGGUGUAGAGGUGAAAUUCGUAGAUAUCGGGAGGAACACCAGUGGCGAAGGCGGAGACCUGGGCCGAUACUGACGCUGAGGUGCGAAAGCGUGGGGAGCAAACAGG